GACAGAGGUGCCGAGCGUUAGGCGGAAUCACUGGGCUUAAAGCGUGUGUAGGCGGGCCGUUAAGUGUCUUGUGAAAAUCCCCCCGGCUCAACCGGGGGAAUUGCUGGGCAUACUGGCGGUCUUGAGCAAUCUAGGGGGCAGAUGGAACAAGUGGUGGAGCGGUGAAAUGCGUAGAUAUCACUUGGAACGCCAAAGGUGAAGACAGUCUGCUGGGGAUUUGCUGACGCUGAGACACGAAAGCCAGGGGAGCGAACGGG
rnacentral:rRNA from 1 species